rnacentral:rRNA from 1 species
AUUGAACGCUGGCGGCAUGCCUUACACAUGCAAGUCGAACGGCAGCGCGGGGCAACCUGGCGGCGAGUGGCGAACGGGUGAGUAACAUAUCGGAACAUACCCUAGAGUGGGGAUAACGUAGCGAAAGUUACGCUAAUACCGCAUACGCACUAAGGUGGAAAGUGGGGGAUUCGCAAGAACCUCAUGCUCAUGGAGUGGCCGAUAUCUGAUUAGCUAGUUGGUGAGGUAAAGGCUCACCAAGGCGACGAUCAGUAGCUGGUUUGAGAGAACGACCAGCCACACUGGAACUGAGACACGGUCCAGACUCCUACGGGAGGCAGCAGUGGGGAAUUUUGGGACAAUGGGGGCAACCCUGAUCCAGCAAUGCCGCGUGAGUGAAGAAGGCCUUCGGGUUGUAAGCUCUUUGCCAGGGAAGAUGAUGACUGUACCUGGAGAAUAAGCCCCGGCUAACUUCGUGCCAGCAG